CAGGCCUAACACAUGCAAGUCGGACGGGAUUCAGGAGCUUGCUUCUGAUGAGAGUGGCGCACGGGUGCGUAACACGUAUGUAACCUACCUUUACCAGGGGGAUAGCCUCUCGAAAGAGAGAUUAACACCGCAUAAUAUCACUUUAUAGCAUUGUAGAGUGAUCAAAUAUUCAUAGGGUAAAGAUGGGCAUGCGGAACAUUAGCUAGAUGGCGGGGUAAUGGCCCACCAUGGCGACGAUGUUUAGGGGAUCUGAGAGGAUGGCCCCCCACACUGGUACUGAGACACGGACCAGACUCCUACGGGAGGCAGCAGUAAGGAAUAUUGGUCAAUGGGCGGAAGCCUGAACCAGCCAUGCCGCGUGCAGGAAGACGGCCCUACGGGUUGUAAACUGCUUUUAUACGGGAAUAAACCCUGAUAUGUAUAUCAGGCUGAAUGUACUGUAAGAAUAAGGAUCGGCUAACUCCGUGCCAGCAGCCGCGGUAAU
rnacentral:rRNA from 1 species